CUCAGAUAAGCUAAAUUAUAAAGCUAUAAUUAUUAUAACCCAGAUAUAAGGAAUUUCCUGUAGGAUUAUGCAAAAAUUUGGAAUUCCAUUUUUGUGACUUUCAGAUGUGUAUGUGUAUGUGUGUGUAUAUACAUAUAUAUAUUUAUGACUCAUUCUAUUAGAAUGAAUAUGCUGAUGUUUAUUUUGUGAAAUACUUUACUGUUUCUCCUUUGGUAACAUACUAUUUUUGGGAAAAAGCAUAUUUUAAUUGUAUAAGUUAAUGGAUUUGCUCAAAGUACCUAAAUUUUGAAACCAAACAUAAUUGUGUUAGUUAAAAUACUAAUGUGGUUUUGAAAACUUUCUCCAGGAUGUAUAACACAGAAUACAAUAACACUUUGGGGAUAUUUAAUAAGUUUUAAUUCAAAUGAUAGGUAUAGUUUAAAAAUUGUAGCCAAUAUAACCUCAAAUUUGUUUUCCUUUUUUUACCCUCUUAGGCUAUGUCUUUAAAAUCUUGAAAGCAACCCUGUCUUUUUGAGUUAUAUUUUUUAAAGUUUGGUUGAAAUGAAGGAAACAUUUUGUCCAUUACUUGAUAUGAUUUUAGAAUUUGUGUAUAGUGUAUUCUAUACUUCAGUGUGUCACACAUUAAAUAAAAGUAAUUGAGAAACUUGUAUGAUGAAGAUUCAUAAAGUGCAUUUUUUCAGUUACUAUAAACAGAAAAAAAUGAUUUGCAAGUAGAUUUAUUUUGCUUUUAGCUGUGCUGUGUAAUUCAUUUAUCUAUUUUUAAAAAUCUAAUCUUUCAGAAUGCCUAUUUAUUACUGGUAGUUUAGAAAUGUAUCCUCUUUUUCUUACUUGAUUGGAGAAACUUAACUUGAUUUAUUUGUAUAUUCGUUCAUAACAUGUUAUAUAAAGUUGCUUUGUAGUAAAAAGCAGCUUUCUCAAUUUGGGGAAUAUAUUACUGUAUGCAUUUUCAGAAUGGCGAUGUUUUUUUCUCUUUAUUCUUUUGCUUGGCGUCAAACAUGUAUUUAGUUUUCAUUAAUAAAUAUAUUUUAUUUGUAAAAAUUAUUUAAUGGAUGGUCAAGUAGGUAAUCGGAAAAACUUAAUGAAUAUGUUAUUA
rnacentral:lncRNA from 1 species